ACGCAUUUCUCUUUGUCCAUGGAAAUUUGAAGCCAAUAAUAAUUUAACAGAAAAUAUAUGUUCAGGUCCUUAAAAACAAAAAAUUACAUACACACACCCAAAAAUACACCUGUACGGGAGCAAAAAAUGAACCCAAAAAAGAUUUUAAUUCUACAAGCAUGUCUCGAAGAAAACUGUGCUACUCUACAGCCAACACCACACCCAUCAAGCAAAGGACAAUGAUCAUUGGACAACCAAGGGACCCCGCAUUCCUGGCCGUGGAUUCGCUCAUCAUGUCUUUGUUGUUGAAAUGCUCCCAUAAACCAAUAUCUGCCACAUGAUGAAAAAUAUGUCACAUUAUUAAAUAUUAUAGUCAGUAGGUUAAAAUAGAAGUAGAAACUGGAAGUAGCUUACUACACGUUAUCAAGUUCUAUAUUUUUUCUCUGCCAUGAUGCAAAGUAGUGAAACAAAAUCAUUCGUGUGAAAAGAAACAACUGAUGGCAACAAAAAGGCAUUAUGAGCAUACAUAGAUCAAUAGUUGGUAGUAAACAACACUGUGCUUAUUUGACUGCAAGUCCUAAGCUAUCAAUACACUAAACUCGAAUCAUGCUAUGAAAACCUUCUGAAUUUCCUACAAUGCAGUCUCUCAUGUGCCGUGAAAUAUGAAGUAUGUGAAACUAAGAAAAGUAAGUCAAGGGGAGGCACUUCCGUACCCAUUGCUGAAAAUAAAUAACAUAAGCAAUACUUUUAUUCUAGUAACCAAGGCAAACAUCAAAACAAAAAGGGAACAAAACUUUUUUCAUCUUAAUAAGAUUAUUAUGCUAUAGGAGAAUAAUAAUACCACAGGUAGUCCUACCUUCCAACAACAAAAAGGAUAAUAGCUUCUCGUACAACAAUCAAUCAUACCGUAAUGCAUCCACAGUUCCAAUCUAUGAUAGAGAAAGCAGACUGCCAUGGUGAAAAUGUCCAUUUCAACCAUGAAAAGGGGUUACCAUUGGUAUGAAAAUAAGUGAUAAUUGAUGUAUCAUAUAUGUAGUGUGGGAUAGGAUAUUGAACAGAAGGGAGUUCAGCUACCAUGUACAGAAUUAUUGAUGUCCAACACAAUCUGAAUCCUAAACACUAUUUUAGAAUAGGGAACUUGUUGCUUUUGUAUUAACAAGAAAACAACAGGAGCAUAAUUAAAGGCCACAUCUGUUCAAGCAAAAAUAUAGUUACUUGACAGGAAAUAAAAAUCCAAGUAACAAUAAAAGCAUAUAGCAAUAUAAACAAGAAAAAACACUUACAGUUCUAAGAUGCUUAUGAUAAAAGUACAGUUUUUAGGUUUUCUCUCAAGUACUACUACAUACACGCAUCUAUAAAACAAGUCCAUUCUAGCAAGAUACACAGUCGCAGCUUAAUUUAUAUCUAACAAGCUGGAACUUCCAAAUUAACUCCCAAAAUAUCAAUCAACAUGAAGAACGGUGCAUGUUAGAAAAAAAUAGCUAUAUCAUAUCGUGUGGAUCAGCAUUAGCUUGCCCUAAUUAAAUUAUGUGUAAUAGUGCAAGAGAAUCAGAUCCACAAAACCGUCAGCAACUAAUCAAGCUCACAUAUUCAUCUCAGCAACUGAAUCCGCCUCUAAACUGAACCAAAAUAUGAUAUGUAUUCAGAUUGCAAGUAUCAUCUAUAUUUGGGGUAAAGUGGGGAGAGGCUCGCCACGCUAGGAGGUAAGGAGGACGCAGCCAUCAGUGAGCUCGUGCAGGCGAUGUAGGACAGGAUGUAGGGGCCAAGGGGGUGCUGUACUUGCUUCUGCACCUCUUUCGGCAAAGAGAGCUCGUUGGGAACGGCUGCAUCGAGGAGGAGGACGUCUUGUACGCCGCUGGAUGGGUGGAGAAGGUAGUAGGCAUUAGUGGCAUAGAAAUCAACCAUAAUAAAUAGUUCAAAUUUGACAGCACAAGCAGCCUGACCAGAAUAUGAUUCUUAGAGAGAAAAACACUCUCCAAGAAAAAGAGAAACAGAAACCGCAUGCGAGAAAGCAGCAUGACCAUUCAUUCAGGGAACAGAAGAGGUAGCAAAAGCAGCAGCAGGUAAUCCUUAUAACUAGAGAGUAAGCAUCCAUCGUUGGCUCCAGUCAGCUACUUCAUAGUAACUAACACCGGCGAAUAAAAAGUAGCACAAUUAACUUGUCAUAUAAUCUAAACAUUUAAAGUUCAAAUCCAGAUUUGAUGUUAUAUAGCUAAAGAGCAGCUGCAAUAACAAAUGUCCAGAAUACAAAAUGUUAAUCCUUCCAACAUGAAAUAUAUUCCAAGGUACUGAUGUUAUGUAGGCAAACUAAAAUUUUGAAGUGCUAAUUCUUUGAACGAGAAGUAUAUGUCGAGGACCUUACUACAAAGAUGAAACCAGCAUGAUAGCAGAGGUAAAUAAUUUCAGGGAACCACAAACUAGUGAGCUACAGGCCCCAGUAGUACCCAUACACAUAUGUAUUAGUAUCGCAGAGAACAUUUGCACCCAAGAGAUUAGAUUAUUUUUCUGGAAAAAUGCAAGACUGUAGUUAAUGGAAGAAGUCGUUUCUACAGAAAUAUACAUGCAGCUGCAAUAACAAAUGUUCAGGAUAUAAAAUGUUAAUCCUUCCAACAGGCAGUAUAUUCCAAGGUACUGAUGUUACGUGGACACUAAAAUUUUAAAAUACUAAUUCUUCGAACGAGAAGUAUAUGUCAAGGAAAGGACUACAAAGCCAAAUUCAUCAUGACAGCAGAUGUAAACAUUACAGGGGAAACGCAAACUAGUGGGUUACAGGCCCAAUGAACUACACAUACACGUGGAUGUAUUAUUAUCUCACAGAGUACAUUUGACGCAAGAGAUAAUCUUUUCUCUUUUUAUAGAAAUGCAAGACUGUAGUUAAUGGAAGGCAAGUCAUUUACCCAAUGCCAGCAAGUGUUCGGCAGUGUGCACUGUGAAAACUGUAUGCUGCUGCUACAUUUAACUAUGCGCAGAACUCAACCCAUAAAUUAUUACUUGAGAACUAAUUGUUAUUUUUAUCUGAAAAUAUUCUAAUAUGUUGAGCACAGUCACGCACCCACAUCUAGUCAUCCACACUAGCUAAGGAAUAUCAACAAAUCCACACAGCAGAAGCACCAACACAAGAGAUGACUGGUACUUGAGCAGCAAGCAUGCAGCAACAACCAAUCCAUAGAGAGGAAGAGGGAGGCAGCGAGCAGGGGAAGAACAACCUGGGGGCGAGAAGCUCGUGGUGGAGUGGCUAGGCGGCGAGGUCAGGGAAGGAAAUCACCCAACCUCCAUCCAGCCAUGGUAUUGAGUGCCUCACCUGCGACCAACCAAAGCAGUAAGAAAACACAUCAGCCAUGGAGAUCCAUCCAUCGAUUUAGGGGUGGGAUUGGGAACCGGAGAGGCGGUACCGUCUGGGGUUAGCGCCAUGGACCACGCGGAAAAGGAAGGGGAGGCCAACCUUGGCGGAGAACAGCGGAGAAGGAGCCGACCUCUGGCGCUGCUCGGUAGAUCCAGAAGCAGCGCCGCAAAUCGGGAAGCGCCUCGGCCUGCUCGUUCUUGAGGCCGCCUAGUUUAAGGAGAGAAGGUAAGAGCGGGGGAUAGGGGAGAGGGUGGGGGCGGUGGUGGUUAGGGAGAGGGGCACCGAGGUUGCCGGUGGUGGCGGCGGACGAGGGGGAGGGAGAUGGAUAGGAUUGAAUUGGGGGAUGGAGGAUGGAGAAGAAGAUGGGGAGCAGCGGUGGUGGAGGCGGUCAACCACCGUUGGGCCAUGUGCCUACCGUG
rnacentral:lncRNA from 1 species